rnacentral:rRNA from 1 species
AUUAGCUCAGUUGGUAGAGCACCUG